UCCAAAAAUGAGAGAAAGAAAGUUUCACCAUGAAUCGUCUUGGUUUGGCAUUACUUGUGCUGGUUGCACUGGCUGGCAUUAUCAGUGAACAAGAUGGUGUUGAAUCAGCUACUCACACUUGCACAGAACAUAAAGGUGUCUGUCGUUCAAACUGCUGUCGAAUUGGGGAAUAUAAUAUGGGUCCACAUGCAGGCUGCUCAGGAAAUGAAGUCUGCUGUCUAACAUAAAGAAACUGGUUAUUGUGCAAGAAAUAACUACCAACAAGGAAAGAGACAAAAACAUUUCCUUCUGGAGAUGCUUUCAUGUUUCAUGCAGCUAUGACUGUUAUAAUGUAUCCGGUUACCUAUCAUUCCAUCG